GCCAGGCAUGGUGGCUCAUGCCUGUAAUCCCAGCACUUUGGGAGGCUGAGGUGGGCGGAUCACCUGAGGUCAGGAGUUUGAGACCAGCCUGGCCAACAUGGUGAAACCCCAUCUCUA
rnacentral:SRP_RNA from 1 species